UGGUGGAGUGAUUUGUCUGCUUAAUUGCGAUAACGAACGAGACCUUAACCUGCUAAAUAGUCAGGCCAGCGUUUGCUGGUCGCAGGCUUCUUAGAGGGACUAUCGGCUUCAAGCCGAUGGAAGUUUGAGGCAAUAACA
rnacentral:rRNA from 1 species